rnacentral:rRNA from 1 species
AUCUAUGGCCAUACCACCCUUAAUGUACCUGAUCUCGUCUGAUCUCGGAAGCUAAGCAGGGUCUAGGCCUGGUUAGUACUUGAAUGGGAGACCAAAUGUGAAUACAAGGUGCUGUAGGCU